GGGAGCGCCCGCCGGCCGGGCAGGGCACCCCGGACCCCCCGGUGCCCCAGACCUGGACACCCCAGCCCGGCCCUGCGCCCUGCUGACCCCGGGCGCCCUCGCGCCUUCUUUCGCGCCCCGCCCGGGGACCCUGAGAGCGCAGGGCGAUCUGCGAGCGCACACGGCCCAGCGGGUGGAGGGGAGCAAAUGAGGAGGGUUCAGGGGGCAUCGGAGGGUGGGCUGGGCCCCCGGGACCCGCCGGCGGCAGCGCCAACUCCGCUCGCACCUGCGGCUCAAACUUUUGUGAGGCUGCUCCGGGAGCGGCGGGAACCCGGCCGGAGACGUCCCCCCUCCAGCCCAGAUCGGCCCUCCGCUUCCCGGGGGCCCGGUGGGCGCUACGAGGCUCUGUGGGAGCUGGGCGAGAGCGUGAGGGGGGCGGCCGCGGUGGAGAGCGCGCGGGCAGCUUGGCGCGGGGGCGGCCGGGCUCCGGGGUCACCAGGGGCAAAGGACGGGGGAGGGGGAAGGGCGCGGGGCCCGGGCUGGUCCGAAGGUAGGUGUGUGGUUACAGAAGGGCUGCGCGAGUACUUCGGCCAGUUCGGGGAGGUGAAGGAGUGUCUGGUGAUGCGGGACCCCCUCACCAAAAGAUCCAGGGGUUUCGGCUUCGUCACUUUCAUGGACCAGGCGGGGGUGGAUAAAGUGCUGGCGCAAUCGCGGCACGAGCUCGACUCCAAAACAAUUGACCCCAAGGUGGCCUUUCCUCGGCGAGCACAGCCUAAGAUGGUGACUCGAACGAAGAAGAUCUUUGUGGGGGGGCUGUCAGUGAACACCACGGUGGAGGACGUGAAGCAAUAUUUUGAGCAGUUUGGAAAGGUGGAUGAUGCCAUGCUGAUGUUUGACAAAACCACCAACCGGCACCGAGGGUUUGGAUUUGUCACAUUUGAAAGUGAGGACAUCGUGGAGAAAGUGUGUGAAAUCCACUUUCAUGAAAUCAACAACAAAAUGGUGGAAUGUAAGAAAGCGCAGCCAAAGGAGGUGAUGUCACCCACAGGCUCAGCCCGAGGGAGGUCUCGAGUCAUGCCCUACGGAAUGGACGCCUUCAUGCUGGGUAUCGGCAUGCUGGGCUACCCGGGUUUCCAAGCCACGACCUAUGCCAGCCGAAGUUAUACAGGCCUCGCACCUGGCUAUACCUACCAGUUCCCAGAAUUCCGUGUAGAGCGGACCCCUCUCCCGAGCGCCCCAGUCCUCCCCGAGCUUACAGCAAUUCCUCUCACUGCUUAUGGACCGAUGGCGGCGGCAGCAGCAGCAGCAGCUGUGGUUCGAGGGACAGGCUCUCACCCCUGGACGAUGGCUCCCCCUCCAGGUUCGACUCCCAGCCGCACAGGGGGCUUCCUGGGAACCACCAGCCCUGGCCCCAUGGCCGAGCUCUAUGGGGCGGCCAACCAGGACUCAGGGGUCAGCAGUUACAUCAGCGCCGCCAGCCCUGCCCCCAGCACUGGCUUUGGCCACAGUCUUGGGGGACCCUUGAUUGCCACAGCCUUCACCAAUGGGUACCACUGAAGCAGGGGACAGUGGCAGGAGAGUCUCACUAUGUCACCCUCAAUAGAGUGCCAUGGCGUCGUGACAGCUCACAGCACAACCUCCAACUCUUGGGCUUGAGUGAUUCUCUUGCCCCAGCCUCCCAAUGCCCCAGCCUGCAGCUGACUGAGGACCACGAGUGAGCCAGCGAGGGGGCAGGACACCUCAGCCGCAGCCGCCGCCCCCUCCCCUGCAGCGACUCGGACGCUACUGCCUGCCCCCACCUGUGAUGUCUGGCUCCCCUACUAACCUCCCCCCUCUUUUGCCCACCUGUGCUCCGUCCCCCUUGCCCCUGUCCCACCCGCUUUUAUUUAUUUUGGAUUAGCCGGUUGCCCCCCAUCCCUACCCUUAACUCCUCCCCUUGGGCCUGUGCCCCCUCCUUGCCGCCCCCAUAGGACCGUUUUGUAUUUGUGCAUAGUUAGAGAGAGGGCGGAGGGAGCCUGCUAUAGGCCACAAUCCCAACUCCUGUUUUUUUAUUCUGAUUUUCCCUUCUUUUAUUCUUUCCCUUUUUUUUUUUUUUUUUUUAAAGCAAUCCGUUUUUAAACUAUUUCUAGGUUUGUGAAUGUGAAGCCCCAGGCCGCCGGGGGCAAGGGGCCAGGUGCCCCCCCCCCACCAGCUGAGAACAAAGUGUCUAUGUGGGUGUGGGCCCCUGGCCGCCUCCCUCCAGCCCUGGACAGGAGGGCAGGGCUGCGGGUAGGCCAGGCCGAGCCCCUGGAACCAUCCCGUCCUGUAUCAUAUGUAAAUACUGUGAGGUGAAGCCCCCACCCCUCUCUGAGACCCCUCUGGAGUGAGGGUCUCCCCCCAUCCCCUGUUUCUGUCCCCUCAGACGCCGUUACUGUAAGCUUGCAGGCCUCAGCUGUGGCAGUGGCAGGCCAGCUCUCUCAGGCCCUCAGGGGGCCUGCUCACCCCGAAAACCCAGUGAAAGGGGUAAGGGGCACAGGAAGAGAAGGGCUUGCCCGAGCCAUUGCUGGAAAGGAAUUAACUCUCCAAAGGUCUCCCCUGCCCCUUACCUAGGCUGGGCCUCCAGGGUUUUUGCUGAGUCAGCCCUGACAUGAGUGGGCGUCCAGGGGCAAUUUGGUAAAGCAAAGGGCUUCUCAGGGAACCCCCACAUUCUCUUACUGAAGUUUCCCACCAGGAUGGUCUCAUGGCCAGAACCCCUUAGCAGCCCCUCACCCCAAAGCCCCCUUCAAAAGAAAAAUAAAGAGGCUCAGAGUAUAAAUCUUCAUGGAUAGUAACCUGGCUGGCUUGGCAGGGCUGAGGCCCUCCUUGUCAUCCCAUUUCUCUGCCGCCCUCUUCACCAGGUCUGAGGCUAAGGGCCUAAGCUCCCUUCCUCAUGAUAGCCCCCACCCAUUAAACCCCCACUUUGGAGAGUUAAUUGUCUGUGUGAGGUGCUUUACCGAUUAGCCCUGAGAACACAAAGCAAUAAUCUUUGUAACUGAGAUGCGCGGCUGUUUGUCUUUUUGGUUUUUUUUUUUAAUGUUUCCUAAUAAAAAAGAAGCUGCAUUUUAUUGGUUUUUAUUUUUAAUUUUCUACACAUUUGAGCUGAGUUCUGAGAGACUUAGCUUCCCUCUUCUCCUAGUUCCUUAAGCCUCCAUACCCUGCUGGGCCCAUCCUUGGGCUCAGGUCCCUAGAAUUCCGUUUUCUGAUUGGUUUGGGGAAUUUUUUUUUUUUAAGAUGUUACAUGGUGUUUCGAAGCCAGCAAGUUACCACCCUCCCGUGUCUCUUCUCUCCACAUCUGUAACUUCUUUUUCCAGGUUUUAUUUUCAGUUUUAAAUUCCUAAUAAAUUAUUUGAAAACGGU